rnacentral:rRNA from 1 species
CCUACGGGAGGCAGCAGUGAGGAAUAUUGGUCAAUGGGCGAGAGCCUGAACCAGCCAAGUCGCGUGAGGGAGUACUGCCCUAUGGGUUGUAAACCUCUUUUGUCGGGGAGCAAAAGCCGGACGUGUCCGGCUGUGAGAGUACCCGAAGAAAAAGCAUCGGCUAACUCCGUGCCAGCAGCCGCGGUAAUACGGAGGAUGCGAGCGUUAUCCGGAUUUAUUGGGUUUAAAGGGUGCGCAGGCGGAUUUUUAAGUCAGCGGUAAAAUCGUGGGGCUCAACCCCAUCCAGCCGUUGAAACUGGGGAUCUAGAGUGUGCGAGAGGUAUGCGGAAGGAGUGGUGUAGCGGUGAAAUGCAUAGAUAUCACGCAGAACCCCGAUUGCGAAGGCAGCAUACCGGUGCACAACUGACGCUCAGGCACGAAAGCGUGGGUAUCGAACAGGAUUAGAUACCCCUGUAGUC